rnacentral:tRNA from 1 species
GGCUUGUUGGUCUAGUGGUACGAUUCUUGUUUCGGGUACUGGAGGUCCCGGGUUCGAAACACGGACAAGCCC